UUGACUUAUUGUAUAAGCUACUCAGAGAGGCCUGUAAUGACGAAGAGUUUCGGGCCUCUGGCGGGCUGCCGGCCCCUGGAGGGGAGCCUGCGCGGCCUGGGUUGCAGGCCGCCCGCCGAAGCAACGGUGAGGUAGGUACACAAUGGUGGGGAGUCUUGCAACUCUGUAAUGAUCCCUCCGCUGGUUCACCAACGGAGA
rnacentral:misc_RNA from 1 species